GACGCGGAGGCGGAGGGAGGACAACACGGUCGAGAUCUGCAACAACCGGCGGGAGGGAAAGCCUCCAGAGGAGCAACGUGAGGGGAUCCAGGCCCAGCCCGUCACCGAGAUGAUCCACGCUUCUGCCAUAGGGAAGAAGUUGGGAAAUCUUCCGGCGACGGUGGCGAAUGUUCUUUCUGAUGGGAACACUAUGCAAUUUGAAGCUAUCAUGCAGUUCCACAGAUUACUCUUUCGAUCAAUGAAUCUGCAACAUAUAGCUGUUAAUUCAUGCUAUUAUUCGUUUCUUUUUGAAUCUUGGCCAUUCUGAAUUGUUCAAUGAGUCGUUCAUACA